UCGAGGAGAUCGCGGCACAUUGCGGGGCCAGGGCGUCGCUGCUGCAGAGCAAACUGAACCAGAUCCUGCAGAUCAACGUCCGGCCGCCUCCGAGUCCCUCGGGCGCCGUCUCGGCCGUGCUGGGCCCAUCCCAAAAUUCCCAACAUUCCCAAAAUUCCCACAAUUCCCAAAAUUCCCACCAUUCCCAACAUUCCCAAUCCCAGCAGCCGCCCUCCAUCCCGGUGUACGAGAUGAAAUUCCCGGAUCUCUGCGUCUACUGAACCUUCCGGAAGUUCCCGAAAUUCCCAAAAUUCCCAAAUUCCCAAAAUUCCCUCGGCAGCACCGAUUUGGUUUUGGGAUCUUUCCUCGUUUUCCUGGGAUUUUCUGGGAAUUUUUUGGGAUCGUUCUGGGUUUUCCUGGGAUUUCCUGAGGGUUUUUUUGGGGUUUUCCUGGGAUUUUCUGGGUGGGAUUUUUUGGGAUCAUUCCCAGUUUUCCUGGGAUUCUCUGGGGUUUCUUUUUUUUUUGGGAUGAUCCCAGAUUUUCCUGGGAUUUCCUGAGGUUUUUUUUGGGGUUUUCCUGGGAUUCUCCACGGAUUUUUUUUGGAGUUUUCCUGGAAUUUUCUGGGAUUUUCCUGUGAUUUUCUGGGGGUUUUUUUUGGUUUUGGAUCAUUCUGGGUUUUCUGGGAUCAUUCUGGUUUUUCCUGAGGUUUUUUUGGGAUUUUUUGGAGGUUUUUUUGUGGGAUUUUCCAGGGAUUUUUUUGGGAUCAUUCCAGGUUUUCCUGUGGGAUUUUUGGGGUUUUUCCUGGGAUUUUCUGUGAUUUUUUUUGGAAUCGUUCCCAGUUUUCCUGGGAUUUUCUGGGGGUUGUUUUGGGAUUGUUCUGAAUUUUCCUGGAAUUCUUUGGGGUUUUUUUGGGAUUUUCUGGGAUUUUCUGGGGGUUUUUGGAAUUGUUCCCAGUUUUCCUGGGAUUGUCCACGGCUUUUUUUGGGAUCGUCCUGGGAUUUUCUGGGAAUUUUUUUGGGGGAUGGUUCCCAGUU